ensembl:lncRNA
ACAUAGGUGUGCACUGUUAUACAUAAUUUAAUGAAUCCUGUGAAUCAAUAUUGAGCAUGGGAAAUCAAUGACAGGAUAGGGAAUGCGUCUCCCUAGGGAUUAUGGGUAGGGACGCUGAUUCAUAAGUUACCUGUCCAUUUCCCGCUCAUUAAGCGGGCAGUGUUCUGCCAGAGGCUGCCACUUGUUAAAGGAAAUACAGAAGUUAAGUAUGUCUGCUGACCACAAGAUUUUAUUAUUGUCUUAACUUUAUAUAAACACUACUAAAAAUACCUUGAAAAUAGUCACUUGCUAAGGUUGAAUAGAAAUGAAUACCAUUCUAACAGAUUCGUAAUACCAGAUACCAGCAUUCUGGUGAAUGAACACUUGGGAGCUUUCAUUCAUAAUGUAUUUGAGUGACUUAUUCAAAGUCAACAGGAUCGUGGUUAUUUUGAGAUCCAGGUCUUAUGUUUAUUUUCAGAUUUUUGCCUGCUUUUUCUUUCUGGUCAGUCUGCCUUGCUUCCAAGGAUCUACUGUUAUCAACAUAAAUUCUAAAAUCUAGCAAGAAGAGCAGGACUUUCUGGCACAGAAAAUUUGCGAGAUUAGCAUCUGGGGUUUCCAAGGUGCAUUGUGUUAUCAUCGAAAAGUGAAAAGCAUCUUUCCCAUCUGAACAUUGGGUGCCAGGAUGGAGACCAUUAUUUGUGCAAGUCCACCACCUGUUGCUUUAAUGAUGGUGUCCUUGAUUAUUUAUCUACCAGGUCAUCUCUUUGGUAACAAGAUGCCUGCCAGGAUUUCCAGACUUAAAUCUCAUCAGCAGUCUCAACAAAAAGCAAACUCUCUUCUGCUGCUGCUAAGUUGCUUCAGUUGUGUCCGACUCCGUGCAACCCCAUAGAUGGCAGCCCACCAGGCUCCGCCGUCCCUGGGAUUCUCCAGGCAAGAAUACUGGAAUGAGUUGCCAUUUCCUCCUCCAAUGCAUGAAAGUGAAAAGUGAAAGUGAACUUGCUCAGUCGUGUCCGACUCUUCGCAACCCUAUGGACUGCAGCCUACCAGGCUCCUCCGUCCGUGGGAUUUUCCAGGCAAGAGUAUUGGAGUGGGUUGCCACUGCCUUCUCCAAACUCUCUUCUAAACAGUGUUAAAAAUUCUGGGUUUCAGCCUCAUGGACUCUGAUUGGGUCAUGUGUCCCUCUUUAAAACAGUCAUUGUGGCUGCCUGGUCCUUAUUCCCUGUUGAGUGUCACAUGGAUUGAUAGAGGGGGACGGAUAUUUCUCAGGAAAUUUAGAGUGCCAUCAGCAAGACCCAGGGGAGAGUAGAUAUUGGAUAGACAAAUGUAAAACAUGGCUGUAGGAGGUAAGUCAACAAAUGUAUGAUGGGGUGAUGCUGUUUAACUAAGAGAUGUUCUAUAAAUAUAAGUAAGUAUAAGGGGUUGGUUAUGGAGUUGCAGUUGAUGUAAAACUUGAUUAGGACAUCAUCCGUUAAGAAAAUGCUGUGUUCAAGGAACAAGGGAGAAUAAAAAUUGAUUAGAAUGUAAAAAUAUCUUGAAAAUGGUGAGUAAAUAAAGCUAGAGAAACAGAGUGGACCAAAGUAUAGCGGAAGUUGUCUCGAGGCUAGUUAAAUUUUAUGCCCUUGGCAAAAGCAACUAGCCAUUGAAAGAGUUUUAAAUAUCUUUGUUAAACAUUGCACCACAUUAUUUGCAAUGUCAAUAUACUUAAAAAAACCUCCCUACCUGUUUUCAUUUUUUGAAGGGAAUGGCAGGUGACUCACCCAAAUGCAUUC